CCUACGUGUGGCAGCAGUGAGGAAUAUUGGUCAAUGGGCGCGAGCCUGAACCAGCCAAGUAGCGUGAAGGAUGACUGCCCUACGGGUUGUAAACUUCUUUUAUAAAGGAAUAAAGUGAGGCACGUGUGCCUUUUUGUAUGUACUUUAUGAAUAAGGAUCGGCUAACUCCGUGCCAGCAGCCGCGGUAAUACGGAGGAUCCGAGCGUUAUCCGGAUUUAUUGGGUUUAAAGGGAGCGUAGAUGGGUUGUUAAGUCAGUUGUGAAAGUUUGCGGCUCAACCGGAAAAUUGCAAUUGAUACUGGCAGUCUUGAGUACAGUUGAGGUAGGCGGAAUGCGUGGUGUAGCGGUGAAAUGCUUAGAUAUCACGCAGAACUCCGAUUGCGAAGGCAGCUUACUAAUCUGCCUCUGACAUUGAUGCUCGAAAGUGUGGGUAUCAAACAGGAUUAGAUACCCCAGUAGUC
rnacentral:rRNA from 1 species